AUGGGCUGCUAGGUCCAGCCCACCCCUUUUUUUUUUCUUGUCCUAAAUUCAUUGCCAGAUCCCCGUCUCCUGCAAAUGUGCCACGUCAAGGCUGGAAAUCACAGUUCUUUUAGAGACUUCAGUGUACGCAGUCAACAGUGGAUGGUGAACUUGGUGUGCAUGUAUAAUUUCUUUGAUGGCAGAAGACAAGAAAAAGUCAAAAGGUCCUGCUCCGUCGCCCCAGUGUUCAGACUACCUGUUCAGGACAAUACUGUUGUACAGUAGUCUGCACAUUGGUUAGACUGGGUAAGGGAAGGCAACAGUAAGUUUCUUUCCACACUUUGCAAGGAAGACAGAUGAACAGUGCGACAGAGGCUCUCGCCGCAUAGUUUAGCAGCUGGAGACAUGCCUAGGCCUAAAGUUGGACAACACCUGGUCCAUGACCUGCCGAACUUCACUGACUUGAUCCACCAUCAUGAAUGGAGAUAUGUACCAUUUGAAAGGAAGGGAUUCAACGCUAGGUUUUCGACUGUAAAUAACACAGAGAUCCUCCCGUCAAUUGAAAAUAAUUUCUUGUACCAUUUCUUACUUCAUGAUCAAAAGUUCAGUUGUGUCAGUGCAAUGAUCUAAUCCAUUCCUUGAUUUUGUGUCGUAACUGCAGCUAAUUGUAUGAAGAAAAUUGAUUUUUGCUUUAAUAAUUUAAUGCAUUCAAUGAUAAUUUUUUAUAUCUAUGCGAAAUUCACUGCAAAAUUUAGCUGUGAAUAUGCAGCUUAUGUGAGCAUUUUCAAUGAGUUAAUUACUAUUUCUGAGGAGAUAAACUGAUUUCAGAUUAUUUUAAGGUGAGUAGUGCAAAAUAGGAUUUUGAAUCGAGAAUUUGUAUGAAGUAUUAAUUAAUGUGCUUAAAAUGUUUGGGUUUUAAUGCAGUAAGUGAAAGUUUUUAGCUGAUAAAAGUUCCAUCUACAUUAUCGACAACAACAACUCAUUCAUCUAGGAAUGGUGGAGGAAGAACUUUAAAAAAAACUGCACUGUUGGUUAAAAAAAAAUGCACGUAUGACUAAAAUUAAUAGCAGAAGAAAAAUAUUCAGACUGACUGUUUUAAUUUGGUUCAGCGCUAAGAAUGGAAGAAAGAGCCAUCAAUUUUUCAUAGAGAAUUAUGAAACAUUCAAAAAAUCAAAUCCCACAGAUUUGAAAUGAGAAUUUAAAUUAAUAGAUUCCAGAAGACCAGUUUAAAAGGAUUUUUUGUUACAAUUUGCAAGUUAAUAUUUGACUGAAAGAGUAGCCCCUUUUUCAGCAACAUCAUUUUAUAUUAUAUUCAAGCUCGUUACUGAGCUAUAACUACAGCUGCUUGGCACAUGUUUCAGGAAAAAGGAAUGCUUAAGAAAUUCAAAAUAAAAGGUCUUAUCAGCAUCCUCAAGGGAUUACUGUACGCUGAAGGCUUAUUUUCUGUGAGGCUAAAUAUGUGUUGCUAAUUUUACAAUCACCCAUUCACAGUUAUGCUGCAUCAUAUCCACUGACCAUCUUGCUCUCCCAUUUGACGUGAAGAAGUAUUAGUUCCCACUAUUUUAGUGCGAUAGUUGUUCAACUUAUUAUUGGAAACACUUUAAAAUUAUAAUUUACAUUGCCAAUUUAGGAAGUUGCAUCAUCUGCUUAAAAACAAAUCCUAACUAUUCUAAAAUUAUGUUCCCAUGUAUAUUUGAGCCAUUAAUCUUUUUUUAAGAGAAUACUUGCUCGCAUUUCACCAAUAUCCUAAGUAUGGGUAAGAUAUUAGAUCGAACCUCACGGCAUAUUUACUGAACUAUUAAUAUUUAUGAAUAAGGACAAUAAUUUUGAACGAAAGAAUCACCACAAAAUAUGUAAGUCUUAAGACAAAGUGUGAGAUUAGUUCAGUAGUUUGCAUGGAAUUCGAAGCAACUAAAUUUUAUAAAAAGUAUAUCAAUCUUUUCCUGAUUAAAAUCAUUUUUGAUCAGGAAACGCUGAACAAAAAAAAAAUCUACUUUUGGACUGGCGUUCAGAGAAAUGAAUUUUUCCAAUUAGACAUACAUUUCUCAAUUGAUUUUUAACUUCCACCAUAUUUUUUUAAAUGCCAAAGUCUAUCUUCUAUGUGCAGAAUUAAAAUAAUAAUCGGCAAUCUUAAAUUUGAUUCAAAUAUAAGAAUGAAUCCCAUCGAAAAUAAAAUGGGAAAUAGACACUUUGUGAGUAAGAUUGUAUCAUUUGCAAGAUCACUCUUGUGUUUUAAUUUUUACUGCUUAUUCUUAAUCCUGUUGUCCUUACUAGCCCACUAAAUUGUUUAUACUAGCUACGUCGCAGUUAUAGACCACCCAAGCCUCCAGCCGCCUCCACGUAAAGUGGCUACAGUCAGGAAGCUGUGCCUUGGCCAUUUUUCAAAGAAAUACAUUUCUUCUGUAUCAGGACCAACUUCUCCUUAAUUCACUUUUUUUUUUUAGGUGCUUUGGCAUAUUUUUCAGAAAUAAACCUCUCUUCAACUUCAUAACACUAAACCAUUUAAGAAGAAUUGAAUUAGCUGUCUGUGACAAUUUAUUAACUCCAUUAUUGUUAAAAAAAAAUAAAUUUCUGUUUUGCCUUUAACUUGAGAAGGAUUCAGACCUUGAGAGUAGAUUUUUGAUUUUUUUUUAAUGAAUUGCUGUUAAAAGCUAUUUAUUUAAUAAUCACGUUUGCUAGUUGCAAGAAUUGGUGUUUUCAAUAAGGUGUAAGGAAUAAAAGUUGUUCAAAACAGAAAACUCAGGGUUUUUUAGAAUUAAACGGAAAUGUAUCAGUUUGAAAAUAAACAUGCAAUUUCCACAAAUCAAUGGCUGUGCUUUACGUCAAAACUUUGUCCAAAAUCCAGGACAUUGGCGAAGAUUUCAUGACUAGAUGGGUGUUCAGUUCAAAGUAAAUAUUUGAAAAUAUUCAUUUCCUGCCCUUCUGCCAGUACAUAAAGCAUAAAAUCCAGUCCAUUUUUGUAGUGCUUAAGAUUAGGGGUUUGGGCCAUCAGUGUGCAGUUUAUGUCCCUAUUGUAUGGUGCUAUCUAUUCCGUGAAGCAGUACAUCAAACCAACUUGCUUGUGAAAUUCAUUGGAGUCUAUUGAUCCUAAAAUGUAAAUAUUGGACAAGUGCAAUUGGUAACCAUUGCACAUGAAUAACAACUUAUUAAUAUAGAAAAUGUUUAAAUCACUCUAAAGACUACCUGUAUCUAUUUCUAUACAGUAAUAUCUCAACAAUAACAUUGCCCUAUAUUCAAUCAAUUAAUCUGAUAUUAAAUUGUAGUUCAGAUUAUACUCAUUCCUAAAGUCAUAAUAAUACCUUAAAAUAUAUUGCAAUGUUCUGCAUUUAUCGUUGUCAACUAUUUCUCCAUUAAGAGAUUGGAAAUUCAAUUAUAUGUCUGCAUAAUAAUCAGUGCAUUUCAAAUAGGUUUAAUUUAAGUACAAAUGAUUUUGAGAUGUUUUAAAAACACUAUGCAAAGAUUUUUUUUCCCCUUUGCAGUUACAGAAUUUAUGCAAUUUGGGCCACAUCCUUGAAUGUCAGCAAUAUUGCUGUAUUAUUAAAUGAACUAUAUGAUAAUAUGUAAAUGGUAAUAAUUCGAUAAUAUCAAGUGGAAUUGUACUGACCACUCUGACAUUCAUAUAUCACCACAGACUAGCUGAAAAAUAUUUUUAUUAUUCUAAAUGCAGAUUAAUAAUCCACUGAAUUAAUUUUACAAUCAAUCUACUUGGUGUUCUUUUCCCCAUGAAUAAGAAUCUCCUUAUGAAAAUCAAAAUACAAAUCUGAAAGCUGAAAUAAAACCAGAAAAUGCAGGAAACACUCAGCAGGUCAGGCAGCAUCUGUGGAGGGAGAAAGCGAUUUAAUGUUUCAGGACAAAGACGCUUCAAUCCAGCAUUUGUUGUGGUUCUAACAAAUUUCCAACAAGGCAAAAUCAAAAUUUGUUAAUGUUUCCCCGCCUCAGACAUGAAAAAAGCAAUUUCUACACCUUCUGAGUUUUUUUUUGGAACUGGUUUGCAAUUGAAAAUAUUUAUACUAUACAAUUGGCAGUCAUUUGGUGAGAGGCAAAGACAGAAAGGAGAGGAUUGCAAAAGGCCAACACCAAUUUGGCUACUGAAAAUGAACUAAGAGUAAUGGUAAUUUAUCUUCUGUGUCCCAAUGUAUAUUUGUGAUUGUUAAUACUAUUCAACUUUACAAAAGUACAGAAUGGAUCAAUUGUUGGGAAAGCUCAUUACUUGCUACAAGGAAGAACACAGUAACCAAAGACCCAUGAAAUGGCUGGUCGGAGUUGUCAUGUGUCUGCCUGUCUACACUUGCUGUGCAGAAAAUCCUCUCACCUGUACAGCAGGCACAGACAGGCAGUCGCAUGACAACCCAGCCUGACUGAGAGCCAUUCAGCCGGAAACCCCAGGAACACUGAACGCAAAGACUUCUUGGGAGUGAUUAAAAUGCCAUCUUCGACACUGUCAUACAAUUACUUUGUAGAUUCUUCCGUGCUACCGACUUUGUUUUCAUGUAUGUAUGUUUAGUUUUAUCACCAUGCAGGCAUAACAAAUAAAGAGCUUGGACAAUCAGAAA